AGAGUUUGAUCAUGGCUCAGAUUGAACGCUGGCGGCAGGCCUAACACAUGCAAGUCGAACGGUAACAGGAAGAAGCUUGCUUCUUUGCUGACGAGUGGCGGACGGGGGAGUAAUGUCUGGGAAACUGCCUGAUGGAGGGGGAUAACUACUGGAAACGGUAGCUAAUACCGCAUAACGUCGCAAGACCAAAGAGGGGGACCUUCGGGCCUCUUGCCAUCGGAUGUGCCCAGAUGGGAUUAGCUAGUAGGUGGGGUAAAGGCUCACCUAGGCGACGAUCCCUAGCUGGUCUGAGAGGAUGACCAGCCACACUGGAACUGAGACACGGUCCAGACUCCUACGGGAGGCAGCAGUGGGGAAUAUUGCACAAUGGGCGCAAGCCUGAUGCAGCCAUGCCGCGUGUAUGAAGAAGGCCUUCGGGUUGUAAAGUACUUUCAGCGGGGAGGAAGGGAGUAAAGUUAAUACCUUUGCUCAUUGACGUUACCCGCAGAAGAAGCACCGGCUAACUCCGUGCCAGCAGCCGCGGUAAUACGGAGGGUGCAAGCGUUAAUCGGAAUUACUGGGCGUAAAGCGCACGCAGGCGGUUUGUUAAGUCAGAUGUGAAAUCCCCGGGCUCAACCUGGGAACUGCAUCUGAUACUGGCAAGCUUGAGUCUCGUAGAGGGGGGUAGAAUUCCAGGUGUAGCGGUGAAAUGCGUAGAGAUCUGGAGGAAUACCGGUGGCGAAGGCGGCCCCCUGGACGAAGACUGACGCUCAGGUGCGAAAGCGUGGGGAGCAAACAGGAUUAGAUACCCUGGUAGUCCACGCCGUAAACGAUGUCGACUUGGAGGUUGUGCCCUUGAGGCGUGGCUUCCGGAGCUAACGCGUUAAGUCGACCGCCUGGGGAGUACGGCCGCAAGGUUAAAACUCAAAUGAAUUGACGGGGGCCCGCACAAGCGGUGGAGCAUGUGGUUUAAUUCGAUGCAACGCGAAGAACCUUACCUGGUCUUGACAUCCACAGAACUUUCCAGAGAUGGAUUGGUGCCUUCGGGAACUGUGAGACAGGUGCUGCAUGGCUGUCGUCAGCUCGUGUUGUGAAAUGUUGGGUUAAGUCCCGCAACGAGCGCAACCCUUAUCCUUUGUUGCCAGCGGUCCGGCCGGGAACUCAAAGGAGACUGCCAGUGAUAAACUGGAGGAAGGUGGGGAUGACGUCAAGUCAUCAUGGCCCUUACGACCAGGGCUACACACGUGCUACAAUGGCGCAUACAAAGAGAAGCGACCUCGCGAGAGCAAGCGGACCUCAUAAAGUGCGUCGUAGUCCGGAUUGGAGUCUGCAACUCGACUCCAUGAAGUCGGAAUCGCUAGUAAUCGUGGAUCAGAAUGCCACGGUGAAUACGUUCCCGGGCCUUGUACACACCGCCCGUCACACCAUGGGAGUGGGUUGCAAAAGAAGUAGGUAGCUUAACCUUCGGGAGGGCGCUUACCACUUUGUGAUUCAUGACUGGGGUGAAGUCGUAACAAGGUAACCGUAGGGGAACCUGCGGUUGGAUCACCU
rnacentral:rRNA from 1 species